CAAGUCGAGCGAAUCUUUGGGAGCUUGCUCCUAAAGAUUAGCGGCGGACGGGUGAGUAACACGUGGGCAACCUACCUUACAGAUGGGGAUAACUCCGGGAAACCGGGGCUAAUACCGAAUAAUCCAUUUCUUCGCAUGAAGAGAUGUUGAAAGACGGUUUCGGCUGUCACUGUGAGAUGGGCCCGCGGCGCAUUAGUUAGUUGGUGGGGUAACGGCCUACCAAGACCACGAUGCGUAGCCGACCUGAGAGGGUGAUCGGCCACACUGGGACUGAGACACGGCCCAGACUCCUACGGGAGGCAGCAGUAGGGAAUCUUCCACAAUGGACGAAAGUCUGAUGGAGCAACGCCGCGUGAGUGAAGAAGGUUUUCGGAUCGUAAAGCUCUGUUGUAAGGGAAGAACACGUACAGGAGUAACUGCCUGUACCUUGACGGUACCUUACCAGAAAGCCACGGCUAAUU
rnacentral:rRNA from 1 species